UUAGGAGGUUCAGCAAAGAGAUGCAAUGAUUUUUAUUUACAAGUACAUGUAUUUUCACAUUUUUUAGUGUUUACUCAGUUCCACUUAUGUCAGGUAGAAGUGAGCGACAGAUGGCUUACGAAGAUCGAGCAACGUAUUGAGGACAGACAAACUAGUUAUACAGACAAAGUUGAAGCCUCCGCGUAUCCAUAUGAAACAAAGAAAUAAAGAUAUCAAAUGAGAUCGAGGAAGACACAGAAAUUUAUUUACCAUAUUGGAUGAGUGACGAUGCUUCUACAUGUAAAUAUUGAUGUACCUCCAAAUGGCGGUUUGGGGCAUUCCAGUGACAUUGGGCGAAGUUUGUGGACAAACUCAAGUUAUUGCCCUUCAAGUAUACAACAACAUUUCUCGAAGUACUUUACAGCAUUCUAGAGCCACCUUGGUACACUGGACCAAUGGAUGACUCAUACUACUGUAGGAUCUGGACGUCGACCAACUUACAAAGAGAAAAAAAAAACAACUCCAAAGUUGACGUUUAGAACAUCUUCCAAAAACUAGGAUCAGGAUAAAAAGGACUUUUGUUAUAAUGUGAUUUUAUUCUUCUUUGAUGUGUAUUGCAUUUUCAAUGUUACUUAGUGGAGUUUUAAAAUCUCUAACAAAGGUAAGAUUAUAUAGAAUAAUAACCUUAAUAUUAUCAAAUACUAUACUUCAGUUGCAUUUGGAAUAAAACAAAUCUUUGUUGAUGUACUUUACCACAUACAGUGUAUAUUUCUUCAAUGAAAAGAGGAUAUUCUCGGUGAAAAGAUAUUAAUAAAGGCAUUUCUUCACUUCAUCUUUGUUAUCUUUUCAUUAUUAGUAGAGAUGUCAAAACUUACGCAUACUAUCAGACUCUAGAUUAUUUCGGAUUUUUUGGAACCUAUUCAAAUCGUGUCAAACAUUUCUUACGUGUCAUGAAAAAACAGGAAAUCUUUGUUUCCUUUUCUCGGUCAUUAAUCAGUCUGAUCUGUGACAAAAAAGUGCACUAAUUUUGUAAACAUACCUUUUUUUACCUCAACACUGCGGGAUGAUAUUAAUUAUUCAUAAUUCAUUGUCGCAAAGUAUAACAAGGUCUCAAGCUCAUACAUACUAAACUCAUUUGUCAUACUGUAAUAUCAGCCUAUUUAAUCUAUUUUAUAUAUUUCUUCAUCCCCAAGAACAUUCAUUUUUUUAAAGAUAAUUUAUUUUGACAGUCGAAAACCUUUCUUCUUAAAUAAAUUUGAAAUUUUGCAUAUGCUUUGUAUUUAUAUAUAUCGAAAACUUAAUGAACGCUUAAUUGUUUAUUAAUAAAUAGUAAUUUACCGUGCAACAUAUUUGAUUUUUUGAUUUUAAUUAUUGAUCAAAUGGUUGUUCGCUCAUUGUUUUUUCUUCUUCAAUCUUCUAUUUUUAUCUCUAGAGGUAACGAAGUUUAAUAUCAAUAAUAUUUUGUUUUAUUUUUGAAUAUUUUUCUCUUCAGCAUAUUGAUUUAUUCUUAUUUUUUAAUUAACCAAUUCCAAAAAUUAGUAUAAUUUGCAAGUUGCAUACUAUAUUCUGCACAAACUACAGUCCCCGUUUAUGUCUUUAAAUGCUGAAAAAGUUUUAAGCAAUAGGGGUAAUUUAUUUAAUAAUUCAGAUACUUUUUUUGGUCUGGUGCUUUGUGAACUUGAUUUCACUGUCUUGAUGAGUAAAACUAAAAUGUAUUUUUUAAACAUUAGAAAAUACUAAGAGUAGUUGAAUUAUCAUUUUUUAAAAUUCAUAUGACAUUGCAAAGAAGCAAAAUAUCAAAUAUGCACUCAUGUUUUUCUUUCACUUACAAGAUUUAGAAAAUAAAAAUCUAUUUAAUCUAUUCAUCAUCAUUUAUAUAUGUCUUAUUUAAGAAAUGUAAAUUGUAUCUUUUUGGUCAUAAAACGCAGCUGGAAAAUUAUGUGUUAAGUAAACAUGAUAUAUUUUACUUUGACCUAACUUUUGGCAUUUGAAAUAAAAUCUUGGCAACAUGCACCUUGUUGUAAAGUGACAUCUCAAACAAUGCCCUCACCGUUUGACUGGGGAGAAGAAAAAAAGAGAAGUGGGACGAACUCAUAUUUCUGCCGCCAGAAUGUCACGAAGAAGCAACAAAGAAAGUUUGGACUUAUUAUUUUGCAUGCUAGGACUCAUCUACUCUUUCAAGCGAUGACUGGAUUACAAAUCAUCACGAUAAAAUUGCAGCUAACCAAGGGGGGAGUAGCUCAGUAAGAGAUGGGUUCAACAAUCGGUAAUCAAAGGCUAUUAAAAGGUUGUGAUGAAAACCCUCCCCGACUUCGAACAAUGCCAAGAUUGUUAUUUUUACUACCUUUGACAUAGGUAUGGAUUCACGGUACCACUGGAACGAUAUCUAGAUUGCUGUCGAGUACAUCCGAUGCUUAGUUCAUUUCUCUUUUGCCUCUGGCGAUGUCAAAAUUCAUACUUAUAGCUCUGUGGUAAAGAUUCAAUCAUUUAGGUAAUGCUUUGGCACAUUGACAAAGUAGUGUCAGCGCAGACCGUCGCGCAAUAGACCUAUACACACUUUUAUAUCUAUUGCGCAGUUCUCUCUUUAUACUUGUAUUUGAUUGUCACUUAAUCGUUUCUAAUUGUGCAAUCAGAAAGUGCCUUUGUUCCUUUGUGUAGCAAGUAAAUAUAAUUUAUAAGAAAAUGUUCGAACUUUGUUGUUAUUUUUCAUUAUGUCUAGUGGCACCCUUUCCUGAUGAUUAUGUCAUGAUAUUAUGUCUGCUUCAAAGGAACUUUGUUGUUAAAGAAAUUGAAAACCGAUCAUAUUAAAAGAAUAAUCUAAAAUAUCUUGGGGCAUUCACAGCAAAAGAUAUUAAACUGAUAUAGAUUUAGAAAGAAAUCUAAAAGAUCAAACAAGAAUAAUAUUGAUAUUUCUAUUGACACGCAAAUGUAGUGCAGUUAAGGACCCAGUAACCUGAGUUGUACACGUCUAGUAUACGUUUGUUGACAUACCCAUGUGGCAAUCAUAUUUUUAGAAUAUUAGGUCAAAACAUAUCACAAAGGGUUUAGAAACCUUGAAACCUGAGAAGUUUAUAUCUCACAUUAGAUCAGCCCAGUACAUGUCAACAUUUAUCGAAUUUCCAGUUUUAAUAUCCCUAAUUUCUUUUGCCAUCACUUUCAAGACUUCAGACUUAAAGUACCUCUACAGCUGCAGUCAAAGCUAUAGAGGACGUUAUUUUUAAGCCAUUUUCUUAAGAGGGUUUAACAAAUCUCAGUGGGGGCCCUAAAUUUCCAGGUGUGUUUUUGCGUCUACUCAGAAUAACCCUCCUGUAGGUAAAAAAAAAGUUUGAACAUUUCAUCGAUGGAUCGAGUGUAGACUUAUUGUCUGCUUAAUUAAACCACCUGUUAAAUGCUUUGAUUUCUAAAAAAAAGGGUAAAACUUUAAAUACAUCCUCUUUUUACAACACACGUAUGUGU